rnacentral:tmRNA from 1 species
GGGGGUGUACUGGUUUCGACGGGGAGUUAUUCGUACUUUGGUUGCGGAUCGAGUUCCGUGCUCUCGCUAAACGAGCGGAAACAAAUAAACAACAAUAAUUACGAAUACGCUUUGGCUGCUUAGUCAGCCAAUGUCCACUUCUAUCGUGUCUGUCGGUGGAAAAUGGGCAUCAACAAUACAGACUACCUGAUGUUAGUUUUCUUCGGAGCUGAGGGGAAAUAAAGAGGAAUAGAAAAUUGGAAAUCCUGCCUAUGGGAGUUCUGAAAUUCGAAAUUUUAAAUUGUAGGCUACAUUCGUAGACAUCACUGUGUGGGUCUUUUCGGACGCGGGUUCGAUUCCCGCCACCUCCAU